UACGGGGGGGGCAAGCGUUGUUCGGAAUUACUGGGCGUAAAGGGCCAGUAGGCGGCCAACUAAGUCCGACGUGAAAUCCCCAGGCUUAACCUGGGAACUGCGUGUGAUACUGGAUGGCUUGAAUUCGGGAGAGGGAUGCAGAAUUCCAGGUGUAGCGGUGAAAUGCGUAGAUAUCUGGAGGAAUACCGGUGGCGAAGGCGGCAUCCUGGACCGACAUUGACGCUGAGGAGCGAAAGCUAGGGGAGCAAACGGG
rnacentral:rRNA from 1 species